UACGGAGGGUGCAAGCGUUAUCCGGAUUUACUGGGUUUAAAGGGUGCGUAGGCGGAUUUGUAAGUCCGAGGUGAAAUCUCCGAGCUUAACUCGGAAACUGCCUUGGAUACUAUAAGUCUUGAAUGACGUUGAGGUUAGCGGAAUAUGUCAUGUAGCGGUGAAAAGGUUAGAUAGGACAUAGAACAUCUAUUGCGAAGGCAGCUAACUAAGCGUAUAUUGACGCUGAUGCACGAAAGCGUGGGGAUAAAACAGA
rnacentral:rRNA from 1 species